rnacentral:rRNA from 1 species
UACGAGGGGGGCAAAUGUUGUUCGGAAUCACUGGGCGUAGAGGGCGCGUAGGCGGGUGUUUAAGUUAGGUGUUUAAUCCUGGGGCCCAACCCCAGUCGUGCACCUAAAACUGGACAUCUUGAAUAGUGGAGAGGUCAGUGGAAUUGGAGGUGUAGCGGUGGAAUGCGUAGAGAUCUCCAAGAACACCAGUUGCGAAGGCGGCUGACUGGACACAUAUUGACGCUGAGGCUCGAAAGCAUGGGGAGCAAACAGG